AGUAACGGCGAGUGAAGCGGCAACAGCUCAAAUUUGAAAUCUGGCCUCCCGGCCCGAGUUGUAAUUUGUAGAGGAUGCUUCGAGCGUGGUCCGGUCUAAGUUCCUUGGAACAGGACGUCAUAGAGGGUGAGAAUCCCGUAUGCGACUGGGUGCCUAAGCUCAUGUGAAGCUCCUUCGACGAGUCGAGUUGUUUGGGA
rnacentral:rRNA from 1 species